rnacentral:sRNA from 1 species
CUUCUUCCACUAACUGGGGACAGAUAAAAUGAACAUGGCUAUCGAUACCUCCUGCGGUGAGAAUCUUGCCUUCCCCAGCAAUAACUUCAGUCGCGGCCCCAAUAUUAAUAUCUACGUUAGGUUGGGUGUCAGGGUUCCCGGCUUUGCCUAUCGCCGCGAUACGACCAUCCUUGAUGCCCACAUCAGCCUUGAUGAUUCCCCAAUGGUCUACAAUGAGAGCAUUGGUAAUCACCAAAUCCAUGACCUGAUCCCUGGAAAGCUGGCUUUGGCCCAUCCCAUCACGGAUG